rnacentral:rRNA from 1 species
UACGGAGGAUGCGAGCGUUAUCCGGAUUUAUUGGGUUUAAAGGGUGCGCAGGCGGAUUUUUAAGUCAGCGGUCAAAUCGUGGGGCUCAACCCCAUCCAGCCGUUGAAACUGGGGAUCUAGAGUGUGCGAGAGGUAAGUGGAAUUCCUAGUGUAGCGGUGAAAUGCGUAGAUAUUAGGAGGAACACCAGUGGCGAAGGCGGCUUACUGGACUGUAAAUGACGCUGAGGCUCGAAAGCGUGGGGAGCAAACAGG